rnacentral:rRNA from 1 species
UGAGGAAUAUUGGUCAAUGGGCGAGAGCCUGAACCAGCCACGUCGCGUGAAGGAAGACUGACCUUACGGUUUGUAAACUUCUUUUGUAGAGGGGUAAUGGCAGAUACGUGUAUUUGCGUGAAAGUACUCUACGAAUAAGCAUCGGCUAACUCCGUGCCAGCAGCCGCGGUAAUACGGGGGAUGCGAGCGUUAUCCGGAAUUAUUGGGUUUAAAGGGUGCGCAGGUGGCUAAUCAGAUCAGUGGUGAAAAGCUAUGGCUCAACCAUGGUCUUGCCAUUGAAACCGUAUAGCUAGAGCGGAGACGAGGUAGGCGGUAUCUGUGGUGUAGCGGUGAAAUGCAUAGCUAACACACAGCACUCCGAUUGCCAAGGCAGCUUACCAGCCUUUAUCUGACACUUAGGCACGACAGCGUGGGGAUCAAACAGG